ACUCCAGACUCCUACGGGAGGCAGCAGUGGGGAAUAUUGCACAAUGGGGGAAACCCUGAUGCAGCGACGCCGCGUGAGUGAAGAAGUCUUUCGGUAUGUAAAGCUCUAUCAGCAGGGAAGAAGAAAGACGGUACCUGACUAAGAAGCCCCGGCUAACUACGUGCCAGCAGCCGCGGUAAUACGUAGGGGGCAAGCGUUAUCCGGAUUUACUGGGUGUAAAGGGAGCGUAGACGGAGAAGCGAGUCUGAAGUGAAAGCCCGUGGCUUAACCACGGGACUGCUUUGGAAACUGUUUGACUGGAGUGCAGGAGAGGUAAGCGGAAUUCCUAGUGUAGCGGUGAAAUGCGUAGAUAUUAGGAGGAACACCAGUGGCGAAGGCGGCUUACUGGACUGUAACUGACGUUGAGGCUCGAAAGCGUGGGGAGCAAACAGGAUUAGAUACCCCAGUA
rnacentral:rRNA from 1 species